rnacentral:snoRNA from 1 species
CUACAUUCAUUACAGAUGCAAGAAAAAAGUGUGCUUGCACUUUCUGUCUGUUUGAUUGUGGCAGCCAAGAUUGAAUAGAGGAAUACAGGG